UGGGGAAUAUUGCACAAUGGGCGCAAGCCUGAUGCAGCCAUGCCGCGUGUAUGAAGAAGGCCUUCGGGUUGUAAAGUACUUUCAGCGAGGAGGAAGGCGGUAAGGUUAAUAACCUUAUCGAUUGACGUUACUCGCAGAAGAAGCACCGGCUAACUCCGUGCCAGCAGCCGCGGGAAUACGGAGGGUGCAAGCGUUAAUCGGAAUUACUGGGCGUAAAGCGCACGCAGGCGGUCUGUCAAGUCGGAUGUGAAAUCCCCGGGCUCAACCUGGGAACUGCAUUCGAAACUGGCAGGCUAGAGUCUUGUAGAGGGGGGUAGAAUUCCAGGUGUAGCGGUGAAAUGCGUAGAGAUCUGGAGGAAUACCGGUGGCGAAGGCGGCCCCCUGGACAAAGACUGACGCUCAGGUGCGAAAGCGUGGGGAGCAAACA
rnacentral:rRNA from 1 species